AGGUGCGCAGACGGAGGGGAAGGGCGGGCUCUCGCAAACUCGCUCCUUCCUCCAUUGCGCUUUUGCCACUUCGCUGGAUCCCCAGGGACUCUGCGUAUCCUGGGGCCCCGCCGAGCUCGGAUAUCGGACAUCCCUAGGAAGGACGGCGGGUCACUGGAGCCCCUCCAAAACGAUGAGUGUGCGGCUAGUACUGGCCGGACCCGGUGCUAUGAGGUCCACAGAAAGGAUGUCAGGUCUCCCCAGAAGACGGAAAAUGGUGCUAUGAGGUCCACAGGAAGGAAUUCUGGACUCUCCAGAAGGCAGAAAAUGGUACUCCAUGCACUUCUCAAACCCAAUCAUAUGGUGGCAGUAGAAGACCACCAGCACCAUCCAAUUCAGAGCCAUUCCUCUGGUGACCCAUCCAUAGACUAGAUGAUAGAGAAAGAUGAGGAAAUACCAUGAGGACCUAACAGACCACCUCAACAGCAGGACAGCAAGCCCAGCACAGCCAUGGCCCUGAGCUCCAGGGCCACCUGCCUGGCUGAAUUCACCUCAGAGGAGGCUGCACCUCACCCAGAUGGCCAGGGAGUGUGGCCUGGCUAAGUAACCAGGAAGAGGAGGGUGGC
rnacentral:lncRNA from 1 species